rnacentral:rRNA from 1 species
AGUGAACGCUGGCGGUAGGCCUAACACAUGCAAGUCGAACGGCAGCACAGGAGAGCUUGCUCUCUGGGUGGCGAGUGGCGGACGGGUGAGGAAUACAUCGGAAUCUGCCCAGUCGUGGGGGAUAACGUAGGGAAACUUACGCUAAUACCGCAUACGACCUUCGGGUGAAAGAGGGGGAUCGCAAGACCUCUCGCGAUUGGAUGAGCCGAUGUCGGAUUAGCUAGUUGGCGGGGUAAUGGCCCACCAAGGCGACGAUCCGUAGCUGGUCUGAGAGGAUGAUCAGCCACACUGGAACUGAGACACGGUCCAGACUCCUACGGGAGGCAGCAGUAGGGAAUAUUGGACAAUGGGCGAAAGCCUGAUCCAGCAACACCGCGUGAGUGAAGAAGGCCUUCGGGUUGUAAAGCUCUUUUAUUGGGAAAGAAAACAUUCAGGCUAAUACCCUGGGAGGAUGACGGUACCCAAAGAAUAAGCACCGGCUAACUUCGUG